rnacentral:tRNA from 1 species
AGUCCCGUGGUGAAUGAACCAUAAUGAAUUGCAAAUUCGGCGAAGCAGUUUAAACCCUGCCGGGACUU